rnacentral:rRNA from 1 species
UCCGUAGGUGAACCUGCGGAAGGAUCAUUGUCGAAACCUGCAACAGCAGAACGACCCGAGAACGUGUUAAAACCACGGCUGGGCGCUCGCGCCACGCCAGCCGGGGGGAAGCGGGCGCCGAUCCCCUCACGGGGCGAGGCGUCCGCGCCCUCCGCGCGAAACAACGAACCCCGGCGCGAACCGCGCCAAGGAACAUGAACGAGAGAGCGAGCCCGCGAGGCCCCGUCCGCGGGCGCGAUCGCGGGCUGGCGUCUUCCUCUACGUAAACAGAACGACUCUCGACAACGGAUAUCUCGGCUCUCGCAUCGAUGAAGAACGUAGUGAAAUGCGAUACUUGGUGUGAAUUGCAGAAUCCCGUGAACCAUCGAGUCUUUGAACGCAAGUUGCGCCCGAAGCCGUCAGGCCGAGGGCACGUCUGCCUGGGCGUCUCACAUCGCGUCGCCCCCCCCCAGCGCACCCCGCGUGUGCCGGAGGGGGCGGACAAUGGCCCCCCGUGCGCCCCGGGCACGCGGUCGGCCCAAAACACGAGUCGCCGGCGACCGACGUCACGACAGGUGGUGGCAGAGAAGCCGCGUGCUUCGAUUCGCGUGCUGUCGUGCCGUCGAAUGCCGGAGAGCUCCAACGACCCUGACGCGCCGUCCUACUCGGCGCAUCGACCGCGACCCCAGGUCAGGCGGGACUACCCGCUGAGUUUAAGCAUAUCAAUAAGCGGAGGA